AACAGGAUUAGAUACCCUGGUAGUCCACGCCGUAAACGAUGUCGACUUGGAGGUUGUGCCCUUGAGGCGUGGCUUCCGGAGCUAACGCGUUAAGUCGACCGCCUGGGGAGUACGGCCGCAAGGUUAAAACUCAAAUGAAUUGACGGGGGCCCGCACAAGCGGUGGAGCAUGUGGUUUAAUUCGAUGCAACGCGAAGAACCUUACCUACUCUUGACAUCCAGAGAACUUUCCAGAGAUGGAUUGGUGCCUUCGGGAACUCUGAGACAGGUGCUGCAUGGCUGUCGUCAGCUCGUGUUGUGAAAUGUUGGGUUAAGUCCCGCAACGAGCGCAACCCUUAUCCUUUGUUGCCAGCGGUCCGGCCGGGAACUCAAAGGAGACUGCCAGUGAUAAACUGGAGGAAGGUGGGGAUGACGUCAAGUCAUCAUGGCCCUUACGAGUAGGGCUACACACGUGCUACAAUGGCGCAUACAAAGAGAAGCGACCUCGCGAGAGCAAGCGGACCUCAUAAAGUGCGUCGUAGUCCGGAUUGGAGUCUGCAACUCGACUCCAUGAAGUCGGAAUCGCUAGUAAUCGUGGAUCAGAAUGCCACGGUGAAUACGUUCCCGGGCCUUGUACACACCGCCCGUCACACCAUGGGAGUGGGUUGCAAAAGAAGUAGGUAGCUUGACCUUCGGGAGGGCGCUUACCACUUUGUGAUUCAUGACUGGGGUGAAGUCGUAACAAGGUAACC
rnacentral:rRNA from 1 species